AUUGAACGCUGGCGGCAUGCUUUAAAUAUGCUAGUCGAACGGUAACAGGUUAAGCUGACGAGUGGCGAACGGGUGAGUAAUGCAUCGGAACGUGCCCGGUCGUGGGGGAUAACGCAGCGAAAGCUGCGCUAAUACCGCAUACGAUCUGAGGAUGAAAGCGGGGGACCGUAAGGCCUCGCGCGAUCGGAGCGGCCGAUUGCAGAUUAGGUAGUUGGUGGGGUAAAGGCUCACCAAGCCGACGAUCUGUAGCUGGUCUGAGAGGACGACCAGCCACAGUGGGACGGAGACGCGGCCCCGACGCCGUCGAGAGGCAGCAGUAGGGAAUUUUGGACAAUGGGUGCAAUCCUGUGCCAGCAAUGGCGCGUGCAGGAAGAAGGCCUUCGGGUUGUCAACUGCUUUUGUACGGAGCGAUAAGGCUCUCUCUAAUACAGGGGGCUCAUGACGGUACCGUAAGAAUGAGCACCUGCUAUCUACGUGCCAGAAGCCGCAGUAA
rnacentral:rRNA from 1 species